rnacentral:rRNA from 1 species
GACAGAGGUGCCGAGCGUUAGGCGGAAUCACUGGGCUUAAAGCGUGUGUAGGCGGGCGUGCAAGUACCGUUGUGAAAUCCCACGGCUCAACCGUGGAACGGCUGGGUAUACUGCUUGCCUUGAGCCAACUAGGGGCGAGCGGAACAAGUGGUGGGAGCGGUGGAAAUGCGUAGAUAUCAACUUGGAACGCCAAAGGUGAAAAACAGCUGCGCUGGGGUUGUGACUGACGCUGAGACACGAAAGCCAGGGGAGCGAAACGGG